rnacentral:rRNA from 1 species
GAUGAACGCUGGCGGCGUGCCUAAUACAUGCAAGUCGAGCGAACAGACGAGGAGCUUGCUCCUCUGACGUUAGCGGCGGACGGGUGAGUAACACGUGGAUAACCUACCUAUAAGACUGGGAUAACUUCGGGAAACCGGAGCUAAUACCGGAUAAUAUAUUGAACCGCAUGGUUCAAUAGUGAAAGACGGUUUUGCUGUCACUUAUAGAUGGAUCCGCGCCGCAUUAGCUAGUUGGUAAGGUAACGGCUUACCAAGGCAACGAUGCGUAGCCGACCUGAGAGGGUGAUCGGCCACACUGGAACUGAGACACGGUCCAGACUCCUACGGGAGGCAGCAGUAGGGAAUCUUCCGCAAUGGGCGAAAGCUUGACGGAGCAAUGCCGCGUGAGUGAUGAAGGUCUUCGGAUCGUAAAACUCUGUUAUUAGGGAAGAACAAAUGUGUAAGUAACUAUGCACGUCUUGACGGUACCUAAUCAGAAAGCCACGGCUAACUACGUG